CGUUAACUCUCAGGGCUACCUUCUUCAUCUUCGGGAUUGUUCGUCUACUGAGGCGCUCCAUUAUUUCGAAAGCUCCUUUCUGUUACUUGAUCUCUUCGACUCCUCCACGUUCUCUACCGGCGUAUCGAUUCCUCUCCCUGUAACGGAUUCUCUAGCCUUAUUUAUAUAGAGGCCCUCGAAGUCGCUAACGCAGCCGUCACCUACUCCACUUUUGGACUCCGUCGUUGGCCGCCUCAUCCGCUUUUGGGAUUCCCGGAACAUCAACAAGAAUGGAGAGUUCAUGGGGAUGACGAUUUUCCUCCUCGAUGAAUUGGACUUGGUGAUUCACGGGUUCAUUCCUGCUAAUGGGGCGAGCCACUACCGGCCUAAUUUGAAACCCGAUUCUAUUGUGAAACUGGACCGUUCUGAAGCGUCAGUACGUGAUCCGUUUCACCCCUUCAAUGCGUAUUUGUGAGGUCCAGACAGAUUCUCCUCUGAUCAAGUUUGACAAAUUCUUGGUGCGGCUUACGACUACCUCCAAGUGCUUGCGAACACCAACCUAGAGCUCGCAGAUGUUGUGGGUGAAAUACCCUCUGUGCAGGGGUCCGAUCUCAAGAACAAUGCAGCAACCACCAGAGUUGUAGUCUGCCUCUUAAUUGAACCGUACGUAAAAUUUUACUUUAGUGCUGUUCGUUUCAUCGCCGCGAGUCUUGCGGCUACGGCUAUAUUUUCCAUGAACGCGUGUUCGUUUCGUCGCCGCGGGAGCCUGCGUCAGCGUCUGCGGCCGAACGCGACCUCUGCGUCUGAACGCAGAUAAAAUCAGCGAUCUCGGCUCAAAUUCUGCGUCUACUCAACUUAAUUACAUUUCUGCCCUUAACAUAAUUCAUUAUUUACCAAAGAACCUAACCCUAAUAGCCGCAGACGCAGCUCUGUUCUCUCAUCGACGCAACUUGCUUGAGCAGACCUCGAAGCUCUCACUCGAUCUGAUGCAUCUCCAGCUCUCUCUCGAUCCGACGCAUCUCCAGCACUCUCGAUCUCCGACGAAAAACCCAUAGAUCUCGCUCUCUCGAUCUCCGAGGAAAACCCAGAGAUCUCUCUCUCUCUCACAAGCUCUCUCUUCCCGGAGCUCUCUCUCUCACAAGCUCUCUCUUCCCGGAGCUCUUCUCUUCUCCGAGGUUUGUGUAAAUCCGAGCUCUCUCUUCGAGCUCUCUCUUCCCGGAGCUCUCUCUCUCACAAGCUCUCUCUUUCCGGAGCUCUUCUCUUCUCCGAG